UACGGGGGGGGGCAAGCGUUGUUCGGAAUUACUGGGCGUAAAGGGCUCGUAGGCGGCCAACUAAGUCAGACGUGAAAUCCCUCGGCUUAACCGGGGAACUGCGUCUGAUACUGGAUGGCUUGAGUUCGGGAGAGGGAUGUGGAAUUCCGGGUGUAGCGGUGAAAUGCGUAGAUAUCUGGAGGAACACCGGUGGCGAAGGCGGCAUCCUGGACCGACACUGACGCUGAUGAGCGAAAGCCAGGGGAGCAAACGGG
rnacentral:rRNA from 1 species